rnacentral:lncRNA from 1 species
AUGAAAUGCUGGACGAGAUUUUGUGAUGAACCGAAGAUCCGUAGAUAACAGAGAAAAGAAGAAAAAGGAGAAGGAACUAGCUCUAAAACUAUAACUUCUACCGAAGAAUCACACGUGGAAGUGGAGGCAAUAGAACCAAGGCGAAAAAUUAAUACACGUCAAUCAGUCGCAGAAGCUACUGUAUAAAUAUAAAGGCCCUGCCUAAAAGAAACGCGCAUGUACUCCCAGAGAUAUGUAAUAUUUGUAGAAGAGACGCCUCAUGGUUCUCACUAGACAAGGUAUGGUCAUUUUGAUAGGUAUAAUACUAGCGCAAUGUGCACAACAUUCUCAGGUUUGGUUUUAAAAUAUAUUGAAUUGUGAUCAAUUUAGUUUAUAUAGGGUAAAGUAGUUUCUAUACUACAAACAUCCAACCUUGUUAUUAGCAGAUAUUUAGUUUAAUAAUUUAUUUUGUUUCACACCAGGUAACUAAGAAGAGAAGAAGAACCCCAUUCAUGUUGGCAGAAACAAUUGAUGCUGGUCUUCUACGUACAGCUGCUGAGAGAAAGAACGAUGCAACAGAUACUCAUGCAAAUCCAGGGGAAAGACUGUGUAUCUCUGGAAAUCCGCUAUCACAAAGUUUGCUACUGCAAUUAUACAAUAUUUUUCGCCGGAGAGACGAAGAAGCAACGAGAGUAUCAGUGUACGAGAAGUUUUAUGAUGUAUUCUGUAAGAAAGUAAUUGAGAUGGAGGUCAUCGGAAAUAAGCAAAUAAAGUAUAUGAAAGAUUUGCUGGAGAAAUUUGUUAUCAUUGCUAAGGACACUGAGAAUGUGGAUGCAUCUAGAUAUAGAGCUUUUAAACUCAAGCAACGACUGAUGAAAAGUUAUCCCCAACUUGUGUUCUGUGUAC